GCUGGGCGUGGUGGUGCACGCCUGUAGUCCCAGCAACUCGGGAGGCUGAGGCGGGAGGAUCCCUUGAGCCUGGGGAGGUGGAGACUGCAGUGAGCUGUGAUCACACCACUGUACUCCCACCUGGGUGACAGAGCAAGAUCCUGUCUCAA
rnacentral:SRP_RNA from 1 species